AUUGAACGCUGGCGGCAUGCCUUACACAUGCAAGUCGAACGGCAGCACGGGAGCAGUCCUGGUGGCGAGUGGCGAACGGGUGAGUAAUAUAUCGGAACGUGCCCGGUCGUGGGGGAUAACGUAGCGAAAGCUACGCUAAUACCGCAUACGAUCUACGGAUGAAAGCGGGGGGAUCGCAAGACCUCGCGCGAUUGGAGCGGCCGAUAUCAGAUUAGGUAGUUGGUGAGGUAAAGGCUCACCAAGCCGACGAUCUGUAGCUGGUCUGAGAGGACGACCAGCCACACUGGGACUGAGACACGGCCCAGACUCCUACGGGAGGCAGCAGUGGGGAAUUUUGGACAAUGGGCGCAAGCCUGAUCCAGCAAUGCCGCGUGCAGGAUGAAGGCCU
rnacentral:rRNA from 1 species